rnacentral:tRNA from 1 species
GGUGUUCUGGCUGAGCGGUAGAGCACUCACCUAGCACAUGUGAGGCACUGGGUUCAAUCCUCAGCACCA